AGGAAUAUUGGUCAAUGGACGAGAGUCUGAACCAGCCAAGUAGCGUGAAGGAUGACUGCCCUAUGGGUUGUAAACUUCUUUUAUACGGGAAUAAAGUGAGGUACGUGUGCCUUUUUGUAUGUACCGUAUGAAUAAGGAUCGGCUAACUCCGUGCCAGCAGCCGCGGUAAUACGGAGGAUCCGAGCGUUAUCCGGAUUUAUUGGGUUUAAAGGGAGCGUAGGCGGACGCUUAAGUCAGUUGUGAAAGUUUGCGGCUCAACCGUAAAAUUGCAGUUGAUACUGGGUGUCUUGAGUACAGUAGGGGCAGGCGGAAUUCGUGGUGUAGCGGUGAAAUGCUUAGAUAUCACGAAGAACUCCGAUUGCGAAGGCAGCCUGCUGGACUGUAACUGACGCUGAUGCUCGAAAGUGUGGGUAUCAAACAGGAUUAGAUACCCUGGUAGUCCACACAGUAAACGAUGAAUACUCGCUGUUUGCGAUAUACAGUAAGCGGCCAAGCGAAAGCGUUAAGUAUUCCACCUGGGGAGUACGCCGGCAACGGUGAAACUCAAAGGAAUUGACGGGGGCCCGCACAAGCGGAGGAACAUGUGGUUUAAUUCGAUGAUACGCGAGGAACCUUACCCGGGCUUGAAUUGCAACUGAAUGAUGUGAAGACAUGUCAGCCGCAAGGCAGUUGUGAAGGUGCUGCAUGGUUGUCGUCAGCUCGUGCCGUGAGGUGUCGGCUUAAGUGCCAUAACGAGCGCAACCCUUAUCGAUAGUUACCAUCAGGUUAUGCUGGGGACUCUGUCGAGACUGCCGUCGUAAGAUGUGAGGAAGGUGGGGAUGACGUCAAAUCAGCACGGCCCUUACGUCCGGGGCUACACACGUGUUACAAUGGGGGGUACAGAAGGCAGCUACACGGCGACGUGAUGCUAAUCCCGAAAGCCUCUCUCAGUUCGGAUUGGAGUCUGCAACCCGACUCCAUGAAGCUGGAUUCGCUAGUAAUCGCGCAUCAGCCACGGCGCGGUGAAUACGUUCCCG
rnacentral:rRNA from 1 species